rnacentral:rRNA from 1 species
GAGUUAGUGGCGGACGGGUGAGUAACACGUGGGAACGUGCCUUUUGGUUCGGAAUAACUCAGGGAAACUUGUGCUAAUACCGAAUGUGCCCUUCGGGGGAAAGAUUUAUCGCCAUUAGAGCGGCCCGCGUCUGAUUAGCUAGUUGGUGAGGUAAAGGCUCACCAAGGCGACGAUCAGUAGCUGGUCUGAGAGGAUGAUCAGCCACAUUGGGACUGAGACACGGCCCAAACUCCUACGGGAGGCAGCAGUGGGGAAUCUUGCGCAAUGGGCGAAAGCCUGACGCAGCCAUGCCGCGUGAAUGAUGAAGGUCUUAGGAUUGUAAAAUUCUUUCACCGGGGACGAUAAUGACGGUACCCGGAGAAGAAGCCCCGGCUAACUUCGUGCCAGCAGCCGCGGUAAUACGAAGGGGGCUAGCGUUGCUCGGAAUUACUGGGCGUAAAGGGAGCGUAGGCGGACAUUUAAGUCAGGGGUGAAAUCCCGGGGCUCAACCUCGGAAUUGCCUUUGAUACUGGGUGUCUUGAGUAUGAGAGAGGUGUGUGGAACUCCGAGUGUAGAGGUGAAAUUCGUAGAUAUUCGGAAGAACACCAGUGGCGAAGGCGACACACUGGCUCAUUACUGACGCUGAGGCUCGAAAGCGUGGGGAGCAAACAGGAUUAGAUACCCUGGUAGUCCACGCCGUAAACGAUGAUUGCUAGUUGUCGGGAUGCAU